rnacentral:lncRNA from 1 species
UCCUCUGUUGAUUUUUCCACCAAAUCUCUUGGACGUUUCGCUUUGGACUUGUCCUGUCUUGACUUCUCAUCCAAAUCUUUUUGAUAUUUGCUUUUAUCCUGACUCUCUUUCAUCAACUUCUUAUCAAAUUUGUUCUUGCUUUUAUCCUGACUCUCUUUCAUCGACUUCUCAUCAAAUUUGUUCUUGCUUUUCUCCUGAUUCCCUUUCAUCGACUUCUCAACAGAUCUGUUCUUCGCAUGGCCCAGGUUAUCACCACGACUUCUCAUCAAAUUUGUUCUUGCUUUUAUCCUGACUCUCUUUCAUCGACUUCUCAUCAAAUUUGUUCUUGCUUUUCUCCUGAUUCCCUUUCAUCGACUUCUCAACAGAUCUGUUCUUCGCAUGGCCCAGGUUAUCACCACCUUCUUUGCCAAUGUUAUUCUGCAAUCUCUCCCUGUAUUCUUGGUGCUGAUGUCGCUUCUUAUCCUCAAAAUCAAUAUCAUCACUGAUCCUCGUCGACCCAACAUCAUCACCGUGUUCCACUGAACGAG